rnacentral:tRNA from 2 species
GGGCCCGUAGCUCAGCUUGGAUAGAGCAUCGGCCUUCUAAGCCGGGGGUCGGGGGUUCAAAUCCCCCCGGGCCCG